rnacentral:rRNA from 1 species
GAUGAACGCUGGCGGCGUGCCUAAUACAUGCAAGUAGAACGCUGAAGGAGGAGCUUGCUCUUCUGGAUGAGUUGCGAACGGGUGAGUAACGCGUAGGUAACCUGCCUGGUAGCGGGGGAUAACUAUUGGAAACGAUAGCUAAUACCGCAUGACAACAGUUAUUGCAUGAUAACUGUUUAAAAGGGGCAACUGCUCCACUACCAGAUGGACCUGCGUUGUAUUAGCUAGUUGGUGAGGUAACGGCUCACCAAGGCGACGAUACAUAGCCGACCUGAGAGGGGGAUCGGCCACACUGGGACUGAGACACGGCCCAGACUCCUACGGGAGGCAGCAGUAGGGAAUCUUCGGCAAUGGACGGAAGUCUGACCGAGCAACGCCGCGUGAGUGAAGAAGGGUUUCGGAUCGUAAAGCUCUGUUGUAAGAGAAGAACGAGUGUGAGAGUGGAAAGUUCACACUGUGACGGUAUCUUACCAGAAAGAGACGGCUAACUACGUG